UCCACCUCCCUGAUGCUUGGAUCUCCCUAGUGACUGGUUUGCCUCCAUCCAACUUGCCUCUCAACAGAAGGAUCGCUGAGACGCUAAGCCAGCCUUCCAGCCUCCCCUUUCCUUCCUCUGCCCCUCGCAUCACCUACCAGCCCUCCGUUUCUAGAAUGUCACCAUUUCAUACUGUUCUAUAAAUGGAGCCCGCAGCCUGGCGUCUGCUGGGACUAGCUUUUUGUCUGGGUGGAUCUCCCUGGAGAUUCUCCCAAGCUGCUAUGCGAGUCCAGUCUGUCUGGACGUUUGCAGGUAUAGUCAGGGAAACUGGCUGGGAGCAUGCGCCGUCACGUGGAGGAAUCUGAGGUUGGAAUGUGGGGCAAGGAGCAGCCCAACCCUCCAAGCCCCCAAGUCACGUGGUCAUGGAGAGGGUAAACGAUAUCUCUCUAAAGUGCUGGGAUAGAGAAAGACCAGAGCCUAACUUGCUAAUGAAACGACGACGACGGGCACCAGAGAUAUAGGACUUCCCCCAGGAACGGUAUGCUGAGAGAGGGAAAAGGCACAGCCCAAAGGAGGACUCUUGGAAAGAGAUUCCCCACAGCUCCUCCCCGGAGGAGACUGAAGCACAACACAGACGACUCAGUGUGGGCGGGAGCACACCUUGGCCGGAACUGCAUAGCUGUGUAAAUCUCUGACUUCUAUUUAAACUUUGAUCUCUCUGUAGAGCGGUGGAUUUUGGCGGCAUUUGCUAGAUCUCUGUGUCUCUCUUCCCAAUGUGGCGACAUUAAAUAAAUCUCCCUUUCUGCCUUC
rnacentral:sRNA from 1 species